rnacentral:misc_RNA from 1 species
GAUGAAGACGCAGUGAAAUGCGAUACGUAAUGUGAAUUGCAAAUUCAGUGAAUCAUCGAGUCUUUGAACGCACAUUGCGCCCCCUGGUAUUCCGGGGGGCAUGCCUGUCCGAGCGUCAUUGCUGCCCUCAAGCACGGCUUGUGUGUUGGGCCCCGUCCUCCGAUUCCGGGGGACGGGCCCGAAAGGCAGCGGCGGCACCGCGUCCGGUCCUCGAGCGUAUGGGGCUUUGUCACCCGCUCUGUAGGCCCGGCCGGCGCUUGCCGAUCAACCCAAAUUUUUAUCCAGGUUGACCUCGGAUCAGGUAGGGAUACCCGCUGAACUUAAGCAUAUCAAUAAGCGGAGGA